AUGAACCAGACGCACUUGUGCAACACGACCAAGAUUUACGUGGUGAACGGGCAGCUCCCCGGCCCCACCAUCGACAUCACCGACGGCGACACGGUUGUCGUCCACGUCGUCAACCGUCUCCCUCACGGGCUCACCAUCCACUGGCACGGCGUCCGGCAGAUGAGGAGCUGCUGGUCCGAUGGCGCCGGCUUCGUCACCGAAUGCCCCAUACCUCCCGGCGGCGAGCACGUGUACCGCUUCAACGUUACCGGCCAGGUCGGCACGUUGUGGUGGCACGCACACGUUACCUGCCUCCGCGCCACCGUCGCUGGCGCCUUCAUCAUCCGUCCCAAGGGAGGGCGGUACCCGUUCCCGACUCCCGCCAAGGACGUGCCCAUCAUCAUCGGCGAGUGGUGGGAGCUCGACCUCGUCGAGCUAGACAGGAGGAUGCAUGAUGGUAACUUCGACGACAAUCCGCUGUCGGCGACCAUCAACGGUAAGCUCGGCGACCUAAGCAACUGCUCUGGCAAGCCGGAGGAGAGCUUCGUCCUCGACGUGGUGCGCGGGGACACAUACCUGCUGCGGAUUGUGAACACGGCGCUCUUCUCGGAGUACUACUUCAAGGUCGCUGGGCACACGUUCACGGUGGUGGGCGCCGACGGGUACUACCUGACGCCGUACAAGACGAACAUGGUGACCGUCGCGCCAGGGGAGGCCAUCGACGUGCUCAUGGCCGCUGACGCCCCGCCAGCGCACUACCAUAUGGUGGCGCUCGCAAACCAGCCGCCGGAGCCUGACCCGCAGAUCCCGGGGUUCAUGUCCCGCGGCCUCGUUCGCUACGCCGGAUCCUCCCAUAACAACAACGGGCUGCCGGUGCCGACGCCGCUCAUGCCCAGCCAGCACAACACCAUGCCGUCCUACUACUUCCACAGCAACCUCACCGGCCUCGCCCACCCGGACCGCCACCGCGUUCCCAUGCACGUCGACGAGCGCCUCUUCUUCACGCUCGGCCUCGGCUCCAUCUGCCGUGGCACCAACAAGACUUGCGAGCGUGGGCGGAGUCCCCAGACCAUCGUGGUGGCCACCAUGAACAACGUGUCCUUCCGCCACCCGACCAACGCGUCGCUCCUCGAGAGGUACUACGACGGGCGGACAAGUGGCCUGUACACGGAGGACCUCCCCGACCAUCCGCCGCACCCGUACAACUACACCGACCGCUCCCUCAUCCCGCCGGGGCCGCUGGAGAAGGCGCUGGAGCCGACGUUCAAGGCGACCAAGCUACGGAGGUUCCGGUACAACACCUCGGUGGAGAUCAUGUUCCAGCGCACGGCGCUGCUGCAGAGCGACUCCAACCCCAUGCACCUCCAUGGCUACGACUUCUUGGUUCUCGCCACGGGGCUCGGCAACUACAAUCCCAAGACGGACCCGAAGAAGUUCAAUUACCACAACCCGCGGCUGAGGAACACUGUGCAGGUGCCCAGGACUGGCUGGGCCGCCGUGCGCUUCGUCACCGACAACCCCGGGAUGUGGUACCUCCACUGCCACUUUGAGUUCCACAUCAUCAUGGGCAUGGCAACAGCGUUCAUCGUGGAGAACGGGCCGACGCCGGAGACCAGCCUUCCCCCACCGCCGCCAGAAUUCAAGAGAUGUGGCGCCAAUGGCCUCACUAAGCCAUAG
rnacentral:rRNA from 1 species